GAAUCUUAGACAAUGGGGGAAACCCUGAUCCAGCCAUGCCGCGUGUGUGACGAAGGCCUUAGGGUUGUAAAGCACUUUCGUCCGCGAAGAUAAUGACAGUAACGGAAGAAGAAGCUCCGGCUAAAUUCGUGCCAGCCGCCGCGGUAAUACGAAUGGAGCGAGCGUUGUUCGGAAUCACUGGGCGUAAAGCGUGCGCAGGCGGUUGUGAAAGUCAGAAGUGAAAUCCCAGGGCUUAACCUUGGAAUUGCUUUUGAAACUUCACGACUAGAGUACUGGAGGGGUUGGCGGAAUUUCGAGUGUAGCAGUGAAAUGCGUAGAUAUUCGAAGGAACACCGAUGGCGUAGGCAGCCAACUGGACAGUUACUGACGCUCAUGCACGAAAGUAUGGGGAGCAAACAGG
rnacentral:rRNA from 1 species